rnacentral:rRNA from 1 species
GAUGAACGCUGGCGGCGUGCCUAAUACAUGCAAGUCGAGCGAACGGACGAGAAGCUUGCUUCUCUGAUGUUAGCGGCGGACGGGUGAGUAACACGUGGAUAACCUACCUAUAAGACUGGGAUAACUUCGGGAAACCGUAGCUAAUACCGGAUAAUAUUUUGAACCGCAUGGUUCAAAAGUGAAAGACGGUCUUGCUGUCACUUAUAGAUGGAUCCGCGCUGCAUUAGCUAGUUGGUAAGGUAACGGCUUACCAAGGCAACGAUGCAUAGCCGACCUGAGAGGGGGGUGGCCACAACUGGAAUGGAGACCCGGCCAAGCCUCACAGGGGGGACAGAAUGGGGAAUCUUUCCGAAAGGGGAAAAGGCCAGACGGAGCAGCGCCGUGGGGGGAAUAAGGGUCUUGGGAUCGAAAAACUUUUUUAUGGGGAAAAAAAAGAUGUAUAAGAAUCUGUGCACUUCUGGGGGUUACCUAAUAAGAAGGCCAGGGCUAAUCGCGGC